rnacentral:tmRNA from 1 species
GGGGCUGACCGGUUUUGACAGCGGGUAGAAAUGGUUUGUAAGCAUGUAGCGCUUCUGUUGUCCGGCGCUUAAAUCUCAGACAGCGAACAAUUAAUUGGCGAAAAUUCUUACGCUCUCGCUGCAUAAUCGAAGAACAGUAGAUUAACGCUUCAUCCCUGCAACAGUUGCGGGGACGAGACAUCGCCCGGAUGCUGUGGCUUCGAAGCGGUCCGAAUCGGCGGUGCAGACAUAUCGGAGAUAGUUUAAAGGAAUCCUCGGACUUUAGGCGAAACCAAGAGGAUAAGGAAAAAGUUGGUGGCUUCGGUCUUGCUUUUUCCCGACAACUAAGGCGAAGAUAAACAUGUAGAAAACGAAUUAGUUCCUCGUUUGGACGAGGGUUCGACUCCCUCCAGCUCCACGC